AGGAGUUUCUUUUAACAAGAUCAGCUAAAUAUAUAUAUAAACCUGUCACCAAAUCACCAAAUUAUAUAGAGAGAUCGAGUUCAGUAUGACAUUGAAUAUGUCCGCUAAUCUUGUGUUUAAGGAAGAUUAGAAUGUUACUUUAACAGGAAGGGAAGACUGAUCUUAGUGAAUGUGAGAGGUAAGAGAGCUUUACUAACCUGGGGGUGUAUAGUGAGUCAAAGAGUGUAUAACGUAGCUAAAUAUGUCUCCAACCCCUCCUCCCCCCCCCACACACACUUCUGUAAUGUUUGUAUUAGUAUUACAUACGUGUGUGGGGGGAGGGGGGGUUGUGAGACAGUGUCACAUGCUUUCAUACAACUGUACUGGAGCGACUGUUAUACACUGGAGCGACUGUUAUACACUGGAGCGACUGUUAUACACUGGAGCGACUGUUAUACACUGGAGCGACUGUUAUACACUGGAGCGACUGUUAUACACUGGAGCAACUUAUACACUGCACUGGAG